rnacentral:lncRNA from 1 species
GUGGCAACUUGGUCGGGUCUGCUUCCGCGCUGUGGAGGUUUUGUUUUUUACUCUUUGCAGUAAAUCUUGCUGCUGCUCACUCUUUGGGUCCGCACUGCUUUUGUGAGCUGUAACACUCACGGAGAAGGUCUGCAGGUUCAUUUCUGAGCCAGCGAGACCACCAGCCCGCCAGGAGGAAGACGCUGCCGAACAUCAGAAGGAACAAACUCCAAACACGCCGCCUUUAAGAACUGUAACACCUGGAGGGUCCGCGGCUUCAUGAAGUCGCAGAGACCAAGAACCCACCAAUUCCGGACACAAAUGCAUCAUUGCACUCCAGCCUGGGUGACAGAGUGAAACCCUGUCUCAAAAAUAAGCUUCCAUUGACGACCAGCUUUGGCUGUUCCAACUCACCACAGCCUCUGAAAGACCCAUGCUCUCUUUGGAUUGCUUGGUACCUGCAGCACGUUUCCAUGCCUGGGAGGGAGAAUAAGAGUAAGUGAACAGUUUACUCUUACUGGAACAUUCCAAUGCUCUUACAGAUAAUAACUAAGUGAAUGAAAACAAAAAGUUCAGGCAUUCACUGGCAAAAUCCAACUCUGAACAGGUAUGGAGGUGGGUCUGGAUUUGGCUCAACAUUUCACUUCGCUACUCGUCUGAAAUGCACCUCAGAGCAAGGGAGGCAGCAAUCAGGUAACGCACGUCAUGGUGAGAGUACUUUGGUCACCACGGGAAACACAACCAACCAAGUGUUUUGCCAAGAGACACAGAUCGGAACGCUCAUCACAACACUGCAUGGCUCAUUCAGUGCAGGUUGCCACAGGUCUACAGUCACAUGGUUAAUGAAAAUCCAAAACAGGACCAACAGGAUGACACAUUUUCUGUUCUUAAUGCUCAUUGCCAUUAUUGCUAGAUCUCACUCUGUAGCCCAGGCUGGAGUGUCGUGGCCAGAUCUCGGCUCAAUGCAGCUUUGACCUCCCCAGCUCAAGUGAUCCUCCCACCUCAGCCUCCCGAGUUGAGUAACUGGGACCACAGCUAUGGUCAGAAAUCAGGACUGUCAUUCAGAUCUCUGGUUCACUUCUUCAUUGAGACGAGUGAUGGUCUUUGAAAGCCAGACGCUGUGGCCUGCUGUCGGGGCUACCCACCUCCACUCCGCCUUGUUGUGUAGGAAUGAGUUACACUUGUCAGGAAGGCUCGUGUCAUUUGACAUGGACUCCAGGAUUGAAAUGAUUUGCUUGAAUGAUGGCCGUUUCUGAAGAAGAGAAAAUAAGUAAUCAUUCGCUGGGACUUAAGAAAGGAGAUAUUUAAGAGAAAACGUAGAUACUACAAGCAUAGUAAGGACCACAAGUCUCAGAAGAGUAGGAAGUGCCCAGCAUCACACAGGAAGCAAGUUACAGAACCAAGGGCUCUGUUCAUAAACUGUUCAACAUCUUUUAUCACAUAAGGGCUCAUAGGUCCAACUAACUGAAAGCCUCAAUUUGUGGGAAGAAGAGAAGCGAGGCUGGGGACACAGCACAAACGGUGUUUACGCCACUGAAGUUCUUUUGAAAUGGAAAGGCUCUGCAUGAAGAAGCGAACAGUUAUGCCACUGCCUCGCCAAUUCCAGUGAGGAGCUCAUCUUCAAUGUAGUGUUCAACGUAGGUGGCAAAACUGUAAUUUUUCCCUUUUUUGAAACUAUUUUUUCUUCUUUUAUUUUUGAAAUUCUCAUCUAAGCGACAGUUUCUUGUACUAUAGUGACUCCUGCUGGGAGAGGUAAGUUGAAGUAGCUGAAGGUCUCUUACAGAUAUAUCAACUCCCGGCCAGUAAAAAAGAUGUCCUAAACGCAGGAGAUGGAGUUAAACUGUUCCCCUACCUUGGACGCAAUGGCUUCUUUCAUCACUAAGAACAAACCCCUAGGUUUUACAAUUGAGACUGAGAAACUAGUACAGUACUUGUACAAUUUUUGAUCUACAGCAUCACGACGUGAAGCUGCAACAAUUAGAUGUAAAGGGUCCAUUCAUGAGGAAUAACAUCACUUUGACCCUUUGUGUUAGCUCCUACUGCUAAUCUUUCCAUAAGCGUGAACUUACUUUCAAUUUGAAGAAGAUGAAAAAGUCUUUUGCAAAACCCCAAUACUGUUUUCUGAUCUAUGUACCUGAAUGGAGAAACGUAGUCUUACCUCGUUUUUUUCCACUACAAGCCAAGCUACUUGUAAUCCUUCCAAACCUUUAAAGGGGACCUCCCUUGUUAGCAUCUCCCAGAGAACCUGGAACAAAAAGAAAAUGGAAUUUUUAUUUUUGUACUUUAUAUUUUUUGGUACAUAUUACUGAGACCUUAUCUAACAUGUAAUUGUAUCUAAUUACCAGACACAACCAACCCCAACUGUAGAAACUUGGGCAAAACAAUUAAGCACACAACUUCUUCUAUAUAUUAAAUACUUUUUACGUUCUUUUUUAUAAAGAAAAAACCUGGUUUAGAAAUUAGGACAUCUAGAGCCAGACUUAAAAUUUUAUGAAACCAAUGGGCCUGACUGAUUUAAUGUCAUCUCAUAAAUUAUCAGAAUUUUUAUGUUCUCACAAAAAAAAAAAAAAAA